rnacentral:rRNA from 1 species
UGGCUGUCGUCAGCUCGGGGGGGCUUUGGGUUAAGUCCCGUAACGAGCGCAACCCUUGUCCUUAGUUACCAGCACGUUAUGGUGGGCACUCUAAGGAGACUGCCGGUGACAAACCGGAGGAAGGUGGGGAUGACGUCAAGUCAUCAUGGCCCUUACGGCCUGGGCUACACACGUGCUACAAUGGUCGGUACAGAGGGUCGCCAAGCCGCGAGGUGGAGCUAAUCUCACAAAACCGAUCGUAGUCCGGAUCGCAGUCUGCAACUCGACUGCGUGAAGUCGGAAUCGCUAGUAAUCGCGAAUCAGAAUGUCGCGGUGAAUACGUUCCCGGGUCUUGUACACACCGA